AACUUCUAACUCUCCAAUGGUACAUGGAAUGCUAAAACUCCCUGGAUGUUGUAAUUUAGGAGGUAAUGUCCUCUGUAUGACUGCACUACAAUUCCCUUGUACCUCAAUAGUUUCCUUCUCAAUGUACUUCUGUUACUUCAUGAGAAGUUCUUUUAAACAUUUUGCAUAUAAUGGCAUUUGCUGAAGUGCUUUAGAAAAUGGUAUGGUUAUUUCCAACUUCUUGAAAAUCUCCAUAAAACGCUCAAACUAUUUUUCUUUCUCCCUCCUAGAAUAUGUCUUUGGGUAAGGCAAGGGUUUUUCAUACUCCUUCUCUUUCAAUUUUACAACCUCUUCAUCUUGAAGUUUCCCCUCAUCUCUCAAAUUUUAUUCAUCAUAUUUUUUUCUCUCUCACACUCCUCCCUCUUAUCACUUUUCUUUAACACUCUUUUUUUCUUCCUCUCUCUUCUCAACUCUUCUCUCCUCCAAUACUCUCCCACUUCUGGGAACAAUCUCACAUGCCUCUCUCAUAUCAUUUUUUUCCACACAAUUCACACUGAACACAUUCCUAUUCACAAUUCUCUGAAAAAUAUCUUCAGACUCUGCAUUUCUAUGUACUAGCAUGAAUUGAGGUUGUUGUGGGCUUCUUAAAACUUCUAUAAUUUCCUGUGGUAAGGUAGAUAAUUUUUGCAUAAUUAUCUCCAACUGCUGAGCAAUUAUUUUGGUCUAUUCCAUCAUUAAACUAUGAUUUUAUAAAUAUGAAACCUCCUGAAGAACAUCAACACUUUCGCC
rnacentral:lncRNA from 1 species